rnacentral:rRNA from 1 species
UACAGAGGUCUCAAGCGUUGUUCGGAUUCAUUGGGCGUAAAGGGUGCGUAGGUGGCGCGGUAAGUCGGGUGUGAAAUCUCGGAGCUUAACUCCGAAAUUGCAUUCGAUACUGCCGUGCUUGAGGACUGGAGAGGAGACUGGAAUUCAUGGUGUAGCAGUGAAAUGCGUAGAUAUCUGGAGGAACACCGGUGGCGAAGGCGGCAUCCUGGACCGGUAUUGACGCUGAGGCGCGAAAGCCAGGGGAGCAAACGGG